rnacentral:rRNA from 1 species
UACGUAGGGUGCGAGCGUUGUCCGGAAUUAUUGGGCGUAAAGAGCUCGUAGGCGGUCUGUCACGUCGGCUGUGAAAACCCGGAGCUCAACUCCGGGCCUGCAGUCGAUACGGGCAAACUGGAGUGUUGCAGGGGAGACUGGAAUUCCCAGUGUAGCGGUGAAAUGCGUAGAUAUUGGGAGGAACACCAGUGGCGAAGGCGGCUCACUGGACCGGAACUGACGCUGAGGCGCGAAAGCGUGGGGAGCAAACAGG